CACGUAGGCGGAUAUUUAGGUCAGGGGUGAAAUCCCAGAGCUCAACUCUGGAACUGCCUUUGAUACUGGGUAUCUUGAGUAUGGUAGAGGUAAGUGGAAUUCCGAGUGUAGAGGUGAAAUUCGUAGAUAUUCGGAGGAACACCAGUGGCGAAGGCGGCUUACUGGUCCAUUACUGACGCUGAGGUGCGAAAGCGUGGGGAGCAAACA
rnacentral:rRNA from 1 species